rnacentral:sRNA from 1 species
GUUUUUUUAUUAAAACAAUGAAAAUACAUUGGCUUUAAAAUAAGGAUGAGCUCAUGGGCGUGUUUAAAGACCGGUUUCCAAAGCAUGCCAACGAGCAAGCCGAAAAAACUCAUAAAACCACGAAAUGCAGCACGUGGUAAACGCACUUAACAGGUAACACCCAUUUGGGGCAAUGAUGAUAAGGUCCACGAGGAGAGAAAAGAAGUGAUGGAGCAAAAGUUGGGGAGCCUUUUCUUAAAGUAUAGUUGCCCCAAAUAGAAAUGCAAGGUGUACCAUCUACAACAGCCGAAAACAAGGCCAAUUCCGAGGAUAAAACAACUACAUGAGAGGAUUCAGCAGCACAACAUCGUAGACAGCAGUACAAACAUUUAAAACCGCAAACACCAACCAACUUGGCAGCAACAUAGGAGACCGCAGAAACAAUGCCACGCUUCUCAAAGUGCUCCCAAGUUGCCUCUGCCGCUGCCACUUCCACGCCGGCCCAUGCCUUUGGAAUCCCAUACUUAAUGUGAAUGAGAGCCGUUUAGAAUCGCGGUUAUGAGGAGCAUCCAAUGGCGACGGGGAGUGGAGCUCGAGGGACAGUUAAUAAACUUCUGGCAGGGCCCGAAACUUGGUCUAAAACCAUGGCGAGAAAGUUGAGAAGCGCAGAGAAAUUAGUUGGCAAGACGUGCGUAAGGUGUGUUACGGACAGUUCCGCUUCAGACCGUAAACCAGAGGGAUCCAAUGUGGUUCGGUCCCGGGAAUCUUGUCAGUCAGUCACUUAGACCGUUUUGGGGCCAAGCACAGAGAGAAAAUGGCGGCGACAUUAUCCC